rnacentral:rRNA from 1 species
AUUGAACGCUGGCGGCAGGCCUAACACAUGCAAGUCGAACGAGUGGCGGACGGGUGAGUAAUUUCUGGGAAACUGCCUGAUGGAGGGGGCUAACUACUGGAAACGGUAGCUAAUACCGCCUACCAUCCUAUGUGCCCAGAUGGGAUUAGAUACUUGUUGGGGGAACGGCUCACCAAGGCGACGAUCCCUAGCUGGUCUGAGAGGAUGCCCAGCCACACUGGAACUGAGACACGGUCCAGACUCCUACGGUAGGCAGCAGUGGGGAAUAUUGCACAAUGGGCGCAAGCCUGAUGCAGCCAUGCCGCGUGUAUGAAGAAGGCCGUCGGGUUGUAAAGUACUUUCAGCGGGGAGGCGUUACCCGCAGAAGAAGCACCGGCUAACUCCGUGCCAGCAGCCGCGGUAAUAC